AUACGGAGGAUCCAAGCGUUAUCCGGAUUUAUUGGGUUUAAAGGGUCCGCAGGCGGUUUGAUAAGUCAGUAGUGAAAUCCAGGGGCUCAACCCCUGAUGUGCUACAGAUACUGUCAGGCUAGAGAAGCACUGGAGGCGGCGGAAUGUGACAAGUAGCGGUGAAAUGCAUAGAUAUGUCACAGAACACCGAUAGCGAAAGCAGCUGUCUAAGUGCUAUCUGACGCUGAUGGACGAAAGCGUGGGGAGC
rnacentral:rRNA from 1 species